CCCACCUCACCCCCACCUCACCCCCGGACACUCAGCCACAGCAGCAGUCAUUAUGGACCGUUAAAUCAGGGGAAAAACCCGGUAGGAGAUAAGGCGCGUUUGGAACGGAACACAGAAUGGACGCCGUGAACGCAACUACUGCGGUCUGAUGGCAGCUGAUGGUGUGGCUUCUACACUGGAAACAUGAAAAAUACUAAAAAUCUGGCAGACAGCUUGCAAGGAGAGACGGUUAAAAUGGACAUUGGCCUCUCGCAGUAUGGAUGAAGACGUUACUCUUACACUUAUUCUCAGCUGCAGGUCUGGAUACAGCAGCUCAGAGGCUCAUACAUUCAACUCCAAAGGGCUACUCUACGUUUCUGAAACACCUCCUGUGUAAGGAUGUCUGCAUUCUUUGCAACCAACCCGCAGACUUUCAGAUGUUCCCCUUAAUAUCUUGACAUUCUCUCCUUGAGCUUCAUGAGGAAGUCACCUGAAAUGGUUUUCCAACAGUCUCAAAGGAGUUCCCAGAGAUGCUGAGGACUUGUUGGUCCUUUUGCCGUCUAAUAAUAAUAAUACUACUAAUUACUAGCGCACUGUAAAAAAAAAAAAAAGUUGUUUUUAUGGUAAAAUUCUGGCAGUUGUGGUCACCAGAAUGCUACAGUAAAAUUACAGUAAAACAUUUUCUACAUUUACAGUAAAGAAAUGUACUGAUAUUGUUGAUUUUAGGGUUAAAAAACAUGUUUAAUUCCAUAUUCUACUGUAAAAAAAGUUUUAACCUUUAAAGUUUUGAAAAUUUACAUGAAAAUACCAUAUAAAAUAAUGUUUCUGUAACUUAUUAUAAAUAUUACAGCAUUAUUCCAUUAUCAGCACAACAGUUUGUGUAUUUAACAUUAAAUAUAUAUAUUUUUAGCAAGCUGUCAUAAAUAUUAAAGCAUAUGUCUGUUAUUAACACAAAAGUACAUCAGUUUGACCAAUAAUAAACUGUAUUUUUUUUUACAUGCAAUAAAUGCAGAAUUUGUUUUGUUGCUUGUUAUAAAUAUUGCAGCAUGUUUCCAUUACCAGUACAACAAUAUGUACAUUUAACCGGGAAAAACUGUAUUCUUUUCCAGAAUUAAAUGUAAAAAUUACAGAACUGUUAUACAUAUUACGGCAUUUUUCCAUUAAAAAUUGUGCAGGAGUUGAGAAAUGUAUGUUUUUGCCGUGUGAGCGGCAGCCAGUUACAGUUGCUCCUGUUUUCAAGAGAAAGAAAAUCUAAAAAAACACAUUUUUCUCCUGAUUAACCUGUUUACGGUGAUUCAGUGUUAUAUAAACGGCAUCAAACUGUUUUAGAGUUUACAGAUUUUUACCGUCAUGGUUUGACAGUCAAAUAAUGAAUCACCAUUUGUAAAUAUAAUGGUUUUAAUGUGGGUGUUAUUUACAGUUUUGGCCUGUGGUUUUUUUAUGAUCAACGUGUAAAUUAAUACUUUUUGUCAUUUUUCUAGAUAUUAUCUGUUACUUAACAUAACAGGGAAAAUCUACAAAAUAACAGUAACAUGUUUGAAAAAUUAAAAUUUUUUAAAGUGUGCCCUUCUGAUGAAUGAACCUCUGUGAUCAAAUUAAAAGUGAAAAACUGAUAAACUAAA